CAUGCAAGUCGAACGAGGUCUUCGGACCUAGUGGCGCACGGGUGAGUAACAUGUGGGAAUCUACCUGAAGGUUCGGAAUAACUGCGGGAAACUGUAGCUAAUACCGGAUGUGUCUGCAAAGAGAAAGAUUUAUCGCCUUCAGAUGAGCCCGCACUAGAUUAGCUAGUUGGUGAGGUAAUUGCUCCACCAAGGCUACGAUCUAUAGCUGAUUUGAGAGGAUGAUCAGCCACACUGGGACUGAGACACGGCCCAGACUCCUACGGGAGGCAGCAGUAGGGAAUAUUGGACAAUGGGGGAAACCCUGAUCCAGCAAUGCCGCGUGAGUGAAGAAGGCCUUCGGGUUGUAAAGCUCUUUCAUCAACGAUGAUAAUGACAUUAAUUGAAGAAGAAGCCCCGGCUAACUUCGUGCCAGCAGCCGCGGUAAUACGAAGGGGGCUAGCGUUGUUCGGAAUCACUGGGCGUAAAGCGUAUGUAGGCGGAUCAAAAAGUUAGAUGUGAAAUCCCUGGGCUCAACCCAGGAACUGCAUUUAAAACUAGUGAUCUAGAAUUUGGGUAGGGGUUAGUAGAAUUUCCAGUGUAGAGGUGAAAUUCGUAGAUAUU
rnacentral:rRNA from 1 species